GUAAAGGUUUCGACGGGGGAACUGAAGCUGGAGAAGCGAGUCGCAUGGUGAUGCGUUAAAUGGCCAAAUUAAAAUUAAACGCUGAAGAAAAUUUAGCAAUCGCUGCCUAGUUGGCAGUAGUCGACUCUAAAGCACUCACACUUUAGAAGUUCGGCUUCGACUAUGUGAGAAACGACACUAUCAAAGCUUUGAGGUAGCGGGCGUAUUAUGAAGCUACUAAAGCAUCUAGGAUGUUUGCUUUCGAGAUGUGGAGGGAAUGUUAAAUAACAAACUACACUCGUAGAAGGACAGGGGAUUUUCCUUCGGACACGGGUUCGACUCCCGUCUGGUCCACU
rnacentral:tmRNA from 1 species